CCUACGGGUGGCAGCAGUGAGGAAUAUUGGUCAAUGGUCGGGAGACUGAACCAGCCAAGCCGCGUGAGGGAUGAAGGUACAGAGUAUCGUAAACCUCUUUUGUCAGGGAACAAAGGCGUGGACGUGUCCCCGGAUUAGUGUACCUGAAGAAAAAGCAUCGGCUAACUCCGCGCCAGCAGCCGCGGUAAUACGGAGGAUGCGAGCGUUAUCCGGAUUUAUUGGGUGUAAGGGGAGCGUAGGCCGGAUGUCAAGCGUGCUGUGAAAUGUCCGGGCUCAACCCGGGCCUUGCAGCGCGAACUGGCGUGCUUGAGUCCGCGGAGAGCAGGCGGAAUUCGUCGUGUAGCGGUGAAAUGCUUAGAUAUGACGAAGAACCCCGAUUGCGAAGGCAGCUUGCUGCAGCGGAACUGACGCUGAUGCUCGAAAGCGCGGGUAGCGAACAGGAUUAGAUACCCCUGUAGUC
rnacentral:rRNA from 1 species